CAUACCAGUGUAAAUACUCUUUUCACUAUCCAUCUUAAUCUGAUCAAACAGGUGAAUGAGACAGGUGUCGGUGGAGUUGGCUGUUCUAAAACCAGACUGGAAUUCAUAGUUACUUUCCAAGGCCGUUCAGUUUUGAAUGAUGGAACUGGAGCUCAGUGCUGUUUAUGACACUCUGGGGGUGUCAGCAGAGGACAUUUUGUCCACUGGGGAAAUCCAGAGUGUGUACAAGAGAGUGUUCCAUACCCCUGUGAGCCAGCAGGACGCAUUGAGGGCUAUUAGAAAGGUUACAGGGGAUAAGAAAGGGACCUCCUGCCAUGCUGGGAAGAUUUUAGACAUUCUUCUUGAGGUAGAGAAAGACCAAACACUCAAAGAAGAGUUGUACUGGGAUACACAGAUGCUGAAUGCAGGUAUAGUCCCUGGGAAGUAUCGAGACAGCAGCAGUGCGCUCACAAUGCCUUGUCUAUAUGAACAAUCUCAGGACCAAAGUCAGAAGAAAAGGCACUUUCAGGCAAGGACGAAAAGGCUUAUUUUACACAAUAACACAUUUUG